GGUGAACGCUGGCGGUAGGCCUAACACAUGCAAGUCGAACGGCAGCACAGUAAGAGCUUGCUCUUACGGGUGGCGAGUGGCGGACGGGUGAGGAAUACAUCGGAAUCUACUUUUUCGUGGGGGAUAACGUAGGGAAACUUACGCUAAUACCGCAUACGACCUACGGGUGAAAGCAGGGGAUCUUCGGACCUUGCGCGAUUGAAUGAGCCGAUGUCGGAUUAGCUAGUUGGCGGGGUAAAGGCCCACCAAGGCGACGAUCCGUAGCUGGUCUGAGAGGAUGAUCAGCCACACUGGAACUGAGACACGGUCCAGACUCCUACGGGAGGCAGCAGUGGGGAAUAUUGGACAAUGGGCGCAAGCCUGAUCCAGCCAUACCGCGUGGGUGAAGAAGGCCUUCGGGUUGUAAAGCCCUUUUGUUGGGAAAGAAAAGCAGCAGGUUAAGACCCCGCUGUUCUGACGGUACCCAAAGAAUAAGCACCGGCGAACUUCGU
rnacentral:rRNA from 1 species